AGUGUUAAUGCUAGCAUUUCUAUAGAUGGAGUAAUUACGAUGUGGAAAGAAAAGUGAAUAAUCUGACAGACUUAAUUUACCCUUAGUAAGUCAGAAUGUCUAUUUACAUUGAGUAACAGUCACUUACGAUAAAUUAAGUUUAUCAUCGCAACUUAAGCUGCCGAAAUGGUGGGUGGUUUUGGUUGGGAAAGAUAUUGUACUAAUGUGA